rnacentral:rRNA from 1 species
CAGCACCUCAAGUGGUCAGGAUGAUUAUUGGGCCUAAAGCAUCCGUAGCCGGCGCUGUAAGUUUUCGGUUAAAUCUGUACGCUCAACGUACAGGCUGCCGGGAAUACUGCAGCGCUAGGGAGUGGGAGAGGUAGACGGUACUCGGUAGGAAGGUGUAAAAUCCUUUGAUCUAUUGAUGACCACCUGUGGCGAAGGCGGUCUACCAGAACACGUCCGACGGUGAGGGAUGAAAGCUGGGGGAGCAAACCGGAUUAGAUACCCGAGUAGUC